rnacentral:rRNA from 1 species
UACGUAGGGGGCUAGCGUUGUCCGGAAUCAUUGGGCGUAAAGAGCGUGUAGGCGGCCCGGUAAGUCCGCUGUGAAAGUCGGGGGCUCAACCCUCGAAUGCCGGUGGAUACUGUCGGGCUCGAGUGCGGAAGAGGCGAGUGGAAUUCCUGGUGUAGCGGUGAAAUGCGCAGAUAUCAGGAGGAACACCAAUGGCGAAGGCAGCUCGCUGGGACGGUACUGACGCUGAGACGCGAAAGCGUGGGGAGCAAACAGG